CAAGGGCGCGAUCUUGUAAGCGUUCCAAAAUGGAACGGAGGCGUUCCGUUCCAUCGAGCCGCACACGAUUGGUCAAUUUGAACCAUGACGAACGCCAUGACGUCAAUUGUGACGUGAACCGUGACGUCUUGCUGCUGUCAAUCAUUCCGUGUCGUCUGCUAACGGACGAACGCAACGGAACGGUUGCCGAGUCCGUCCGUUUCGAUAGAACGGAUUAGAACGGCUACCAGACGACUUGGAUUGGAUUAAAACGUAAGCGCUUGGGACAGUUAGCCUCUUUCGUAUCCGGUUCAAUCCAAAUCGGGAAUCCCAACAGUUGGAGAAAAUGGCGUUUUCUUUCUCUGCCGUGUCUUUUCGUGUCGCCUGUGCGGCUGCUGCAGUCGCGCAGAGACGAUGACCCGAGGUAGAUGAUGCAUUUAAAGAGUUGACGGAGGAAGAGUUCCGGCAAUAUUUUCGUCUGUCCAAACGAACAGUGCGUCGCUUGUGCGACGAGCUUGACUCCAUCAUUGGAUGCCAGCGAGCCAGUGGCCUUUCCACAGAAAGGAAGGUGUUGUGCGCGCUGCGAUUUUUCGGCACUGGAAGCUUCCGGAGGAGCGUUGGUCGCGAGGAGUAAAUAGGCAUGGCGCAGCCGGCCGCGAGCAACACCAUCCAGGAGGUGAUGGAGGCCAUCAUUUCCGUGUCUGCCCGGAGAAAGUUGGUGGACUUUUCAUUGACACCGGCUGCCAAGGAUGAGGCAAAGGCGGCGUUUGCGCGACGCGGUGCCAUUCCAGGCGUGCUAGCGUGCGUCGACGGCACGUUGAUCGCCGUUAUGAAGCCAGAGGGACUCAGCCCGGCCGACACGGCGAGCUUCAUGUCGAGGAAGGGUUAUUACGCCCUCAACGUCAUAGUCGUAAGUACCGUUGGAAUGUUUUAUUUCAAACUGUAGUCGCCAUUUUUACUCGCCCAUAGUAGCAAUUGUUCAGUUUAAUGCCCAAGCUGGCAUAACUAGUAAUGUAACGAUUAAAAGAGGACAUGCGGGGAACUGUGUACGAGCUCGUUGAAGUCUGACAUGUCAGCGGUAAUGAUGAGUGCCAUGUGUUUCUGUGCAUGAGCCGUUUGCCGUACCAAAAUUGUGUUUUCGUUCUGGCGUGCAUACACAAUGGAGUUGUGCAUUUUGGAGGUAUUUAGGAACAUGGGCAGCAGUCGUAGCAAAAAUCGAUACACUAUAGGGAAGAUACGAUGGAAGCAUUUUGAACAGGGAAGUACUUACAACCAUUGCAUGGGCUGGAUUUGGCGUGUAUGGGUGUUCUUGCGCAAUUUCGUGCCCCAAGUUUUCAUUUAGCGAUCACUUAGUGCAAACCAUAGGCGUGCGCACAAAGGGCCCCAAAUGCGAAACCCUGUGCACGCCUAUGAGUGAAACAGUGUAGCUGCUUAUACCAGCGUAAAUGUAUGUAUUGUUUUCUGCAUAUGAAUGGCAAAAAGGGAUUUUGAGCAUAUCUGCAGCGCUAUUUUGUAUUGCUCCUCAUUGCAGGUGUGCAACUCGGAACUUUGCAUCCUUGUUGUGGACCUCCGGCUCCCUGAUUCGGGCCACGACUCUUGGAUGUGGCAGCAUAAUGCACUGUGUACGCGCCUCGCCGCACAACUGCAGCCUGGCGAGUCUCUGCUUGGUGGCCAGCUACGACUAGUGCCAGGGAGCGCACCUUCUCCAGUAUGCCCUCCUGAGCCGCUGCCGUCCUCUCUGCCGCGAUGGCGAGCCGGGUGGUGGAUUGUUCGAUCCUUCGCAGCACCUGAAAUGAAUAAUUGUGGUGGAAUUGUUCAUAUGAGUUGCUGAUUACUCGCAACCAGCUCAUCGCUGGAAGCUGUUGUUGUCAAGAAUUGCAACGUGCACAACAAUUGCCCACCUCCCUCGCUGUAGCCACUGUAGUGUCUAUCCUCCUAACACAUCACAUAUCCUAUGGCAAUGCCAUCCAAAACUACCCCCCUUACCCAAACCUUCAUCCCUCCCAUCUACCCCUUCCUCCGAGUGGCUGACCGCCGCAACCACCCUUCACGACCAACGAUUCCUUGGGGACUUCAUCGGCCUAGCGCUGAAGCAUGCCGCAAGCGACGCCCUGGACUCAGGGCACUGAUGCAUUUUUUAUCGCAGAAUAAAAAAAAGUGAUUUC